rfam:Rattus norvegicus chromosome 1, whole genome shotgun sequence.
GGGGACUUAGCUCAGUGGUAGAGCGCUUGCCUAGCAAGCGCAAGGCCCUGGGUUCGGUCCCCAGCUCCG